rnacentral:tRNA from 1 species
GCUGAUGUGGCACAGGCGGUAGCGCGCAUCCUUGGUAAGGAUGAGGUCAUGGGUUCAAUUCCCAUCAUCAGCUCCA